CAGCAGCCACGGGAAUACAGAGGGUGCGAGCGUUAAUCGGAUUUACUGGGCGUAAAGCGUGCGUAGGCGGCUAAUUGAGUCGGAUGUGAAAUCCCCGAGCUUAACUUGGGAAUUGCAUUCGAUACUGGUUAGCUAGAGUGUGGGAGAGGAUGGUAGAAUUCCAGAUGUAGCGGUGAAAUGCGUAGAGAUCUGGAGGAAUACCGAUGGCGAAGGCAGCCAUCUGGCCUAACACUGACGCUGAGGUACGAAAGCAUGGGGAGCAAACAGGAUUAGAUACCCGUGUAGUCCCUGUCUCUUAUAC
rnacentral:rRNA from 1 species